rnacentral:rRNA from 1 species
UACGUAGGGUGCAAGCGUUAAUCGGAAUUACUGGGCGUAAAGCGUGCGCAGGCGGUUUUGUAAGUCUGUCGUGAAAUCCCCGGGCUCAACCUGGGAAUUGCGAUGGAGACUGCAAGGCUAGAAUCUGGCAGAGGGGGGUAGAAUUCCACGUGUAGCAGUGAAAUGCGUAGAGAUGUGGAGGAACACCGAUGGCGAAGGCAGCCCCUGGGUCAAGAUUGACGCUCCAUGCACGAAGCUGGGAGAACGAGA